rnacentral:tRNA from 1 species
UCCCGAAUAGCUCAGUUGGUUAGAGCGGGUGACUGUUAAUCACUAGGUCGGGAGUUCAAGUCUCUCUUCGGGAG